rnacentral:rRNA from 1 species
GUGCCAGCCGCCGCGGUAAUACAGAGGGGGCAAGCGUUAUUCGGAAUUAUUGGGCGUAAAGGGCGCGUAGGCGGCCUGGCAAGUGAAAGGUGAAAUCCCUCGGCUUAACCGAGGAACUGCCUUUCAGACUGCUUGGCUUGAGACCGGGAGAGGUGAGUGGAAUUCCCAGUGUAGCGGUGAAAUGCGUAGAUAUUGGGAGGAACACCAGUGGCGAAGGCGGCUCACUGGACCGGUACUGACGCUGAGGCGCGAAAGCGUGGGGAGCAAACGGGAUUAGAUACCCCUGUAGUCC